UGCACGGUGGCUUAGUGGUUAGCGUGUUUCCCUCACACCUCCAGGGUCCGGGGUUCGAUCCCCGGCCGUGUGU